rnacentral:rRNA from 1 species
GAUGAACGCUAGCGGCAGGCCUAACACAUGCAAGUCGAGGGAGGAGCUUUCGGGCUUCGACCGGCGUACGGGUGCGUAACGCGUAUACAAUCUGCCUUUCACAUAGGGAUAGCCCGAAGAAAUUUGGAUUAAUACCUAAUGGUAUAUAGAGGUGGCAUCACCUUUAUAUUAAAGCUGAGGCGGUGAAAGAUGAGUAUGCGUUCUAUUAGCUAGAUGGAGAGGUAACGGCUCCCCAAGGCGACGAUAGAUAGGGGUUCUGAGAGGGAUAUCCCCCACACUGGUACUGAGAUACGGACCAGACUCCUACGGGAGGCAGCAGUGAGGAAUAUUGGACAAUGGUCGGAAGACUGAUCCAGCCAUGCCGCGUGCAGGAAGACGGCCUUAUGGGUUGUAAACUGCUUUUGCAGGGGAAGAAUAAGGACUACGCGUAGUUUGAUGACGGUACUCUGCGAAUAAGCAUCGGCUAACUCCGUG